rnacentral:rRNA from 1 species
AUGGCGACCGGCGCACGGGUGCGUAACGCGUAUGCAACCUACCUUUUACAGGGGCAUAACACUGAGAAAUUGGUACUAAUUCCCCAUAAUAUCUGAGACGGCAUCGUUUUGGGUUGAAAACUCCGGUGGUAAAAGAUGGGCAUGCGUUGUAUUAGCUAGUUGGCGGUGUAACGGACCACCAAGACGACGAUGCGUAGGGGUUCUGAGAGGAAGGUCCCCCACACUGGUACUGAGACACGGACCAGACUCCUACGGAAGGCAGCAG